rnacentral:rRNA from 1 species
GACGAACGCUGGCGGCAUGCCUAAUACAUGCAAGUCGAACGCCAAAUCUUCCUGCUUGCAGGAAGAGGCGGAGUGGCGAACGGGUGAGUAACACGUGAGGAACUUGCCCAUAAGAGGGGGAUAACACCCGGAAACGGGUGCUAAUACCGCAUAAGUUUUCCCAGUGCAUGCUGGGAAAAUAAAAGGUGGCUCUGCUACCGCUUAUGGAUAGCCUCGCGGCGCAUUAGCUAGUUGGUAGGGUAAAGGCCUACCAAGGCCAUGAUGCGUAGCCGACUUGAGAGGGUGAUCGGCCACACUGGAACUGAGACACGGUCCAGACUCCUACGGGAGGCAGCAGUAGGGAAUCUUCCACAAUGGGUGCAAGCCUGAUGGAGCAAUGCCGCGUGAGUGAAGAAGGACUUCGGUUCGUAAAGCUCUGUUGUUGGGGAAGAACACGGAUAGGAGUCACUGCCUGUCCCUUGACGGUACCCAACCAGAAAGUCACGGCUAACUACGUG